rnacentral:rRNA from 1 species
CCUGGGUAAGUCGGGACCUAAGGCGAGGCCGACAGGCGUAGUCGAUGGACAACCGGUUGAUAUUCCGGUACCGGCGAAGAACCGCCCAUACCGAACCUCGUGAUGCUAAGCGCCCGAAACACUGCGCGGUCUUCGGACCAAACGGUGUGGAGCGCGCGACCCGAGCGGGUAGUAGGUAAGCAAUGAAGAGACGCAGGAAGGUAGCCAAACCGCGGCGAUGGUUGACCGCGGGUAAGGGUGUAGGGCGAGGUGUAGGCAAAUCCGCACCUCACGUGCCUGAGACCUGACGCCGACCCAUAUUGGGGAAGUUGGUGAUCCUAUGCUGCCUAGAAAAUCUUCUAGCGAGGUUUUAGCCGCCCGUACCUCAAACCGACUCAGGUGGUUAGGUAGAGAAUACUAAGGCGAUCGAGUGAAUCGUGGUUAAGGAAUUCGGCAAAAUACCCCCGUAACUUCGGGAGAAGGGGGGCCCAGAGGGUGACAGGACUUGCUCCUCGAGCCCGACCGGCCGCAGAGACCAGGGAGAAGAACUUAAGCGCCAGUAAACGGCGGUGGUAACUAUAACCAUCCUAAGGUAGCGAAAUUCCUUGUCGGGUAAGUUCCGACCUGCACGAAUGGCGUAACGAUUUCUCCACUGUCUCAACCACGAACUCGGCGAAAUUGCACUACGAGUAAAGAUGCUCGUUACGCGCAGAAGGACGGAAAGACCCCGGGACCUUUACUACAGCUUGGUAUUGGUGUUCGGUACGGCUUGUGUAGGAUAGGUGGGAGACUGUGAAGUCGGCACGCCAGUGUCGGUGGAGUCAACGUUGAAAUACCACUCUGGUCGUUCUGGAUGUCUAACCUAGGUCCGUGAUCCGGAUCAGGGACAGUGCCUGGUGGGUAGUUUAACUGGGGCGGUUGCCUCCUAAAAGGUAACGGAGGCGCCCAAAGGUUCCCUCAGCCUGGUUGGCAAUCAGGUUUCGAGUGUAAGUGCACAAGGGAGCUUGACUGUGAGACAGACAUGUCGAGCAGGGACGAAAGUCGGGACUAGUGAUCCGGCGGUGGCUUGUGGAAGCGCCGUCGCUCAACGGAUAAAAGGUACCCCGGGGAUAACAGGCUGAUCUUGCCCAAGAGUCCAUAUCGACGGCAUGGUUUGGCACCUCGAUGUCGGCUCGUCGCAUCCUGGGGCUGGAGUCGGUCCCAAGGGUUGGGCUGUUCGCCCAUUAAAGCGGUACGCGAGCUGGGUUUAGAACGUCGUGAGACAGUUCGGUCCCUAUCCUCUGCGCGCGCAGGAAACUUGAGAAGGGCUGUCCUUAGUACGAGAGGACCGGGAUGGACGAACCUCUGGUGUGUCAGUUGUUCUGCCAAGAGCACGGCUGAUUAGCUACGUUCGGGAGUGAUAACCGCUGAAAGCAUCUAAGCGGGAAGCAUGCUUCAAGAUAAGGUUUCCAUGGGGUUUACCCCGAGAGGCUCCCAGCUAGACUACUGGGUUGAUAGGCCGGAUGUGGAAGUGCGGCAACGCAUGGAGCUGACCGGUACUAAUAAGCCGAUAACUUGACGG